rnacentral:tRNA from 1 species
UGGGGAGUGGUGUAAUGGCCGCACGCGACGCUUUGGACGUCGAAGCCCAGGUUCGAUCCCUGGCUCCCCAG